AUUGAACGCUGGCGGCAGGCCUAACACAUGCAAGUCGAGCGAGCGGCGGACGGGUGAGUAAUGUCUGGGGAUCUGCCCGAUAGAGGGGGAUAACUACUGGAAACGGUGGCUAAUACCGCAUACUAUCGGAUGAACCCAUAUGGGAUUAGCUAGUAGGUGGGGUAACGGCUCACCUAGGCGACGAUCUCUAGCUGGUCUGAGAGGAUGAUCAGCCACACUGGGACUGGGCAACGGUCCAGACUCCUACGGGAGGCAGCAGUGGGGAAUAUUGCACAAGGGGCGGAAGCCUGAUGCAGCCAUGCCGCGUGUAUGAAGAAGGCCUGAGGGUUGUAAAGUACUUUCAGCGGGGAGGCGUUACCCGCAGAAGAAGCACCGGCUAACUCCGUGCCAGCAGCGGUGGUAAUUC
rnacentral:rRNA from 1 species